ensembl:lncRNA
GAUGAACUUCAGAUGAGGAAAAUACUGGAUAAUCCAGAUGAAACCAAUGUAUCGCACAAGUCCUUAAAAAGGAGAACCUUUCUCAGCUGUGGUGAGAGGAGGAGCUGACAGUGAAAGAAAGGUCAGAAAGAUGCCAUGUUGCUGAGGAAAGGCCACUGCAGAAGAAAUGCAUGUGACUUGCAGAAGAAAUGCAUGUGACUUGCAGAAGAAAUGCAUGUGACUUCUAGAAGCUGGAAAAAGGGAGGAAUGGACUUUCCCAUGAAGCCUGCAAGGACCUGUGACUUCCGACCUACAGAACAGAAUAAAAUGACCCUUUCCACUACUUCCAUAUGUUCAUGUUUCAAAACGAAAACAUUUUCUGCAAAGCAGACUCUUACUCCCUAAGAAACCAAGACACUGGCACUUCUGGUUUCCCCUUCUUUGGACUUGGAUUAAAUUACAUCAGUGACCCUCCUAGUUCUCAGGCUUGAACACGGCAGACGGUGGGACUUCUUGAUCUGCAAAACUAUACAUGGGUCACACAUGGUUGCCACAGGUGAGGAUCAAAGAGUAUGAGGAUCACCUUGACCUAUGGAAGGGCAUCACCGCUCUACCCACCAAUUUUGUAUACCAUUGCAGUUGAAGCCUUCCAUCCCAAAUCACCUCUCUCCCAAACCAGUGCAGUACCACGCCGCAAAGGAGGCAUAAACAUUCAUUUGUCUUCACUAGUACUUCCAAGGAAAACGUCAAGCAGUGUUGUGUUAACUUCAAGCAGGCCCAGUGUUAACAUUUUAUUUACACUGCCCUUUGACCUCUAAGAAACUCUGAUAUUAGAUGGGAAUCCUGGUAUGAAUCAGUACCAUUGUGCCAGGCCUAAUUUCAUAGGAGUUUACAAUGUAAUGUGAAUUAUUAGAUAACAGUAGAUUAGCAAAAUAAAGAAUGAAGUCAGUAAUAUAAAAGAUCCCUAAAUCAAAUGCAUCAUUCUGAUUCUGUUAAGGCUGAGAAGACAUCAUUAAACCUUCACGGAAAACAUAGCAUUUAAUUG